AUUGAACGCUGGCGGCAGGCCUAACACAUGCAAGUCGAGCGGCAGCACGGUAAUUGCUUCUUCAUACGGGUGCCGACUGGCGGGUAAUUCCUAGGAACCUCCCUGGUUGCUGGUGCUUAGGUGCUGACACGGGCGCUCUUACCCCAAUAGCCCAUACGGCGUACGUGGGAAAUCUUCGGACCUUCCGCUCUCAGAUGAGCCUAGGUCGGAUUAGCUAGUUGGUGGGGUAAAGGCCUACCAAGGCGACGAUCCGUAGCUGGUCUGAGAGGAUGAUCAGCCACACUGGAACUGAGACACGGUCCAGACUCCUACGGGAGGCAGCAGUGGGGAAUAUUGGACAAUGGGCGAAAGCCUGAUCCAGCCAUACCGCGUGUGUGAAGAAGGUCUUCGGAUUGUAAAGCCCUUUUAGUGGGAAGGAAGGGCAGUAAGUUAAUACCUCGCUGUUUUGACGGUACCAACAGAAUAAGCACCGGCUAACUUCGUG
rnacentral:rRNA from 1 species